CUGGCUCAUGGGUUCCUAGCUGUCCAAAGAAGCGAGAAGUGUAUUCCAAACCCGAGUGCACACUGCAGGCGCGAAUCUGAUGGCCGCACUACAAACGCCUUCCCCAUUCGCCGGCACCGCCCGCCGCUUCGUCCCUCGCCUCCGCUAUCUACUCCUACCAACCACCAUGUCUCUCUCCUCCUCCAUCGUUUCCUCUCGAAGCCGCGACGGCGACGGGGAGCAGCCUCUCCUCCCGCACUCGAGCCUCGAGAUCGCCGGCGCGCGGCGCGGCCUCCUCGCUGGCUUCGACAGCCUCCGCCGCCCGUACCGCGCCUUCCCCGUCUUCGCGUCCAACCGCCACGUCGAGACCAUCUUCGCGGCCUUCACGCGCUCGCUCCCCACCGUGGCAUUCCGGCGCGAAUGCCUACGCACCCCUGACGACGGAGCCGUCGCCCUCGACUGGGUCUCCAGCGACGACCGCGCGUUGCCGGGAGACGCACCUGUGCUAAUCCUUCUGCCUGGUCUGACAGGGGGCAGUCAGGAUACAUAUGUACGACAUAUGCUUUUGAGAGCUAGAAGCAAAGGAUGGCGUGUUGUGGUAUUCAAUAGCCGUGGAUGUGCAAGUAGUCCUGUGACCACAGCGAAGUUCUAUUCUGCUUCAUUUACUGGAGAUCUCCGUCAAGUAGUCGAUCAUGUUUUAUCCCGUUAUCCUCAAUCUAAUAUCUAUGCUGCUGGCUGGUCUCUUGGAGCAAAUAUUCUUGUGCGCUACCUUGGCGAGGAGACUGAUAAAUGCUCCCUUUCUGGAGCAGUGUCCAUGUGCAAUCCGUUUAAUUUGGUCAUAGCAGAUGAAGAUUUCCACAAAGGGUUCAACAACAUCUAUGAUAGAGCACUUGCUAACUCUCUGAGGGCUAUAUUUAAGAAGAACUUCAUCAAAUUUUAGGCAUGCACUUCUUUUUGAAGGAUUGGAUGGUGAAUAUGACAUACCAAAGGCAGCCAAUGCAAAAACUGUUAGAGAUUUUGAUGAAGGCCUAACCCGAGUUUCAUUUGGUUUCAGGUCAGUAGAUGAUUACUACAGCAACUCAAGCAGCUCAGAUUCUAUCAAGAAUGUUUCCAUACCCUUAUUGUGCAUACAGGCGGAUAAUGAUCCAAUUGCACCAUCCAGGGGAAUUCCCAGAGAAGACAUCAAGGCAAAUCCGAACUGCCUACUGAUAGUAACACCAGAGGGUGGUCAUCUUGGAUGGGUAGCAGGCGACGAAGCUCCAUUUGGAUGUCCUUGGACUGACCCUAUUGUCAUGGAGUUUCUAGAACAUGUUCACAAUGAAACGGGCUCAACCAGCAAGAAUAGCGUGGCCAAUGAGCCGCAGGGUGUUCCAAAGACAUCAGUCCCACACUUGUCCGAACAUGUGCAGGGAUAGUAACAUUGUGUUUCCACUCGAUGCGCACGUUUUAUGCGCAUAGUUAGGCUUCACUUGCUGUUCUGCAGCUGAAAUGUGCUACACUUGCUCCACCAACACGAAGGUUCUGAACAUGUUAAAAAUUUAUUGGCGUCGGUAAUCCAUCGCUGGCUCCCCAUUUUACUGUCAUUUCGACAUGAAGUAUUUAUUUGCCAUUUGGAAGGCUUGCUGUAUCAAACUGCACCAUGUUGUAUAGAGUAUUUCGACCGCAUUCAUCCAUGCAUGUACCCAUCACCCCCUCUUGUAUGUGUUCUCACACUGAUCCCAUGGAAAUGUACAGGCAGUCGCUUCAUCCAAUCCAUCACGCCCACACAAAGGGCCGAACACUUGAACUGCAGAAUACUAGAAUGUGCCAAAACCAGAGCACCGGGUUUUCGAGUCGUGGUUUUCAGCGACAGCUUCAGUCAUCUCAAUUUGUAAAGGAACUUUAGCUGACCGAGCAGAUUAUCAAUAAGAGUUGCCCCCUCUCUCUAUCCUAAU
rnacentral:rRNA from 1 species